CUUCCUAGGACAGAAAUUCUGAAGUCUGGCAAUCUUCAUCCAUCUCCAGCCACUCGGAUGUCUUCUUCCGAAAAUCCCUCAAAGUCUGGCUCUGAAUCAGUGCCACUGCUGGAGUUUUCCAAGUCUGAGCCG